rnacentral:rRNA from 1 species
AAAUGAAUAGACGGGGGCCCGCACAAGCGGUGGAGCAUGUGGUUUAAUUCGAUGCAACGCGAAGAACCUUACCAGGUCUUGACAUCCCUCUGACCGGUAUAGAGAUAUACCUUUCCUUCGGGACAGAGGAGACAGGUGGUGCAUGGCUGUCGUCAGCUCGUGUCGUGAGAUGUUGGGUUAAGUCCCGCAACGAGCGCAACCCCCUAUUCUUAGUUGCCAACGGUUCGGCCGGGCACUCUAAGGAGACUGCCGGUGACAAACCGGAGGAAGGUGGGGAUGACGUCAAGUCAUCAUGCCCCUUAUGACCUGGGCGACACACGUGCUACAAUGGCCGGUACAGAGCGCAGCGAACCCGCGAGGGGGAGCGAAUCGCAAAAAACCGGUCUCAGUUCGGAUCGGAGGCUGCAACUCGCCUCCGUGAAGCAGGAAUCGCUAGUAAUCUCGGGUCAGCAUACCGAGGUGAAUACGUUCCCGGGCCUUGUACACACCGCCCGU